GGGUGAUUAGCUCAGCUGGGAGAGCACCUCCCUUACAAGGAGGGGGUCGGCGGUUCGAUCCCGUCAUAACGCU
rnacentral:tRNA from 2 species